ACGCACGGGUCGGGCGGGUUUGGAGACUUAUUUGGCGCCUGGCGCGGAAGCGGAUGGCGUGGAUCUGCAGAGCGGAAGAAGACAUCAAAUACCCUGGAACUGGAAUUACAGACAAUUUGUCUUACGUCUGACUGACCCAUCCUCCCAGAGCAUAGAAGAUGUUACUUUCAUGCUUCUCCCUGUGUUGAGGAAAGCAGGCAUCCUUCCAAGGACUAGGCUGGAGGUCCACACAUAAACCUGAGCAGAGGCCUGUGUCCUCUUUAGCACAUGAUUCCUACUUGGCAUCCCCAGCGGCUGUUUGGGUCCUAAGGAGACAGAUAUAUCUACAAGGCUUUGGAAGAUUCUUCCCAGUGCCCUCUGCCUGAUGGAAGGUGAAAGCACCCAGGGCCACAGCCACCCUACACUUCAUACCAGGCAGGACAGAAGGCACCCCAUUUCUGGAACUCAAUGGUGGAAUGGAGCUGUGUGCAGAAGAGAGAUGUUGCACUGCCACAAAAGCAUGGGAUCCCCUAUGUCCAAGCAGGUGACCAUCUUCAAAGGCCACCAUUGGGAUGUUUGGAGCCCUGGGCUGAGAGAGAGAGGAAAGGAUACUGCUUAGAUGCAUAAGCAGGAGAGGCCUAGAGCCAGGUGCCUCCAUUGGUAAGGAAUUCCAAGGACGGAUAUGGGAAGAGUGACAGGAAUUCUGACCCUCUCAGCAUCUGAAUCUGCAGGCAGCUGGUCCUAAGGAACCUCCCACCCCCAAGAAUUCACGGGCUGCUACUUUCUCACACCUGGCCAUGCCUGCCAGCAAGUGAGGUAAAAUUCCAUUGUCCAGAAGCAUUCUUGAAUCAGAGCACAGGACAGGGUUCCAAGGGGCUAUAAAACCCCAGAGGGGGCAUGGGCAUGGAGACUGGCUCCACAGAAUGCCUCAGCUAAGGCGUUGCAAAGAGUAUGAAUCUCUGAGACAGUCGGAACAGUAGAUGUCCUUGCUGCCCAUAACUCUUCAAACCACAGAAGCUCCUGGGCUCUUGGUGGAGAAUACCUACCCCAAACCAACUCAAGAGAGAUAAUACUCUACCACAGCCCUUGUGAAAUGAUUCUAAGGUGCCAAACUCAGGACUCCUGUGAAACCACAUUAGAAUGUUGUAACUUUCACUCUCUAGCUCUAGUAUGCUCUGCAGCACACAGGCUCCAGGGCUGGCCAUAAUGACAGAGUAGGACUCAGGGGUGCUCAGUCUUUCUCUGCCCUCUAUAAAGUCUCUCCACAAUGUUUCCCAUAAAAUUACAGGCAGAUGCUGCUGACUGGUCUUGCAGAAGUCUGAAAACACAGUCUGAUAACCUCAAUGAGAAUCCACACAUUUGGGGCUAGAGAGAUGGCUCAGCAGUUAACAGUACUGCCUGUUUUUCCAGAGGUCCUGAGUUCAAUACCCAGCAACCACAUGGUGGCUCACAACCAUCUGUAAUGAAGUAUGGUGCCCUCUUCUGGCCUGCAGGAAUACAUGCAGGCAGACCACUGCAUACAUAAUAAAUAAAUUUUAAACAAGAAAGAAAAAAAAAAAAAAAGAAUCCACACGUUUGUGCCACUGCCACUAGAUUUAUUAAGGUUGCCAACACAUCCACUAAGAGGGCUACCAAGAGAGCCCCAGCCGCACCUGGCCUGGUGUCUGAACUAGGGAACUCCUUUAGGGAGAGCUCAGAGUCAGACAUUUUAUAAGGACUGGACAGUU